rnacentral:rRNA from 1 species
UAAGGAAUAUUGGUCAAUGGACGCAAGUCUGAACCAGCCAUGCCGCGUGAAGGAAGACGGCCCUACGGGUUGUAAACUUCUUUUGUACGGGAAAAAAUCUCCGGUCGUGUAUCGGAGCUGAUGGUACCGUAAGAAUAAGCAUCGGCUAACUCCGUGCCAGCAGCCGCGGUAAUACGGAGGAUGCAAGCGUUAUCCGGAUUCAUUGGGUUUAAAGGGUGCGCAGGCGGAAUGAUAAGUCAGUGGUGAAAUCCUACGGCUCAACUGUAGAACUGCCAUUGAUACUGUCGUUCUUGAGUACACUUGGAGUGGGCUGAAUGUGUCAUGUAGCGGUGAAAUGCUUAGAUAUGACACAGAACACCAAUCGCGAAGGCAGCUUACCAAGCAAUAACUGACGCUCAUGCACGAAAGCGUGGGGAUCAAACA